rnacentral:rRNA from 1 species
UACGGGGGGGGCAAGCGUUGUUCGGAAUUACUGGGCGUAAAGGGCUCGUAGGUGGCCAACUAAGUCAGACGUGAAAUCCCUCGGCUUAACCGGGGAACUGCGUCUGAUACUGGAUGGCUUGAGUUUGGGAGAGGGAUGCGGAAUUCCAGGUGUAGCGGUGAAAUGCGUAGAUAUCUGGAGGAACACCGGUGGCGAAGGCGGCAUCCUGGACCGGUACUGACGCUGAUGCGCGAAAGCUAGGGUAGCAAACAGG